AAUAUUGCACAAUGGGCGAAAGCCUGAUGCAGCGACGCCGCGUGAGGGAUGACGGCCUUCGGGUUGUAAACCUCUUUCAGUAGGGAAGAAGCGAAAGUGACGGUACCUGCAGAAGAAGCGCCGGCUAACUACGUGCCAGCAGCCGCGGUAAUACGUAGGGCGCAAGCGUUAUCCGGAAUUAUUGGGCGUAAAGAGCUCGUAGGCGGUUUGUCGCGUCUGCUGUGAAAGACCGGGGCUCAACUCCGGUUCUGCAGUGGGUACGGGCAGACUAGAGUGAUGUAGGGGAGACUGGAAUUCCUGGUGUAGCGGUGAAAUGCGCAGAUAUCAGGAGGAACACCGAUGGCGAAGGCAGGUCUCUGGGCAUUAACUGACGCUGAGGAGCGAAAGCAUGGGGAGCGAACAGGAUUAGAUACCCUGGUAGUCCAUGCCGUAAACGUUGGGCACUAGGUGUGGGGGACAUUCCACGUUUUCCGCGCCGUAGCUAACGCAUUAAGUGCCCCGCCUGGGGAGUACGGCCGCAAGGCUAAAACUCAAAGGAAUUGACGG
rnacentral:rRNA from 1 species